rnacentral:tRNA from 1 species
GGAGACGUAUCGAAGAGGUCAUAACGGGGCUGACUCGAAAUCAGUUUGCCUUUCGGGGCACGCGGGUUCGAAUCCCGCCGUCUCCG